rnacentral:tRNA from 4 species
GGGUCGUUAGCUCAGCUGGUAGAGCACCGGACUUUUAAUCCGUUGGUCCUGGGUUCGAACCCCAGACGACCCACCA